GUGCUCGCUUCAGCAGCACAUAUACUAAAAUUAGAAUGAUACAGAGAUUAGCAUGUCCCGAGCACAAGGAUGACAGGCAAAUUCAUGAAGCAUUCCAUUAAAAA
ensembl:snRNA U6 U6 spliceosomal RNA